rnacentral:pre_miRNA from 1 species
CAUGCACCGGUGGGGUCUCUUGGCCUGGCCUGUGCCCUCUCGCAAUCCGGGACCCCUUGGGGGAUGUCAGACGGCUGGUUUCGGCUCGAUCUUCACAGGCCAGGCCAAGGGACCCCACCGGUGCACA